CAAAGCAGGCAAAUCCGCUUUGAUAAUGCUGGGAUGUGAUGGGGAGCGAAAUUUAGUAGCGAAGUAGCUGAUUUCACACUGUCAAGAAAAGUCUCUAUCGAGGUUAAAGGUACCCGUACCGCAAACCGACACAGGUGGGUGAGGAGAGUAUCCUAAGGCCAGCGAGAGAACUGUUGUUAAGGAACUCGGCAAAAUGACCCCGUAACUUAGGGAUAAGGGGUGCCACCAUCCGGUGGCCGCAGAGAAUAGGCCCAAGCGACUGUUUACCAAAAACAUAGGUUUCUGCUAAGUCGCAAGACGAUGUAUAGGAGCUGACGCCUGCCCGGUGCUGGAAGGUUAAGGGGAUCUGUUAGAGCAAUCGAAGCAGUGAACUUAAGCCCCAGUAAACGGCGGCCGUAACUAUAACGGUCCUAAGGUAGCGAAAUUCCUUGUCGGGUAAGUUCCGACCCGCACGAAAGGCGUAACGAUUUGGGCACUGUCUCAACAACAGACUCGGUGAAAUUGUAAUUCCGGUGAAGAUGCCGGAUACCUGCGACAGGACGGAAAGACCCCAUGGAGCUUUACUGUAGCUUGACAUUGGGUCUUGGUACUACAUGUACAGGAUAGGUGGGAGGCUUUGAAACCAGGACGCCAGUUUUGGCGGAGCCAUCCUUGGGAUACCACCCUUGUAGUACUGGGACUCUAACCAUAGGCCAUGAAUCUGGUCUUGGGACACUGUCAGGUGGGCAGUUUGACUGGGGCGGUCGCCUCCCAAAAGGUAACGGAGGCGCUCAAAGGUUCUCUCAGUACGGUCGGAAAUCGUACGUAGAGUGUAAAGGCAAAAGAGAGCUUGAUUGCAAGACAUACAGGUCGAGCAAGGAUGAAAAUCGGACUUAGUGAUCCGGUGGUUCUGCGUGGAAGGGCCAUCGCUCAACGGAUAAAAGCUACCCUGGGGAUAACAGGCUUAUCUCCCCCAAGAGUCCACAUCGACGGGGAGGUUUGGCACCUCGAUGUCGGCUCAUCACAUCCUGGGGCUGUAGUAGGUCCCAAGGGUUGGGCUGUUCGCCCAUUAAAGUGGUACGCGAGCUGGGUUCAGAACGUCGUGAGACAGUUCGGUCCCUAUCCGUCGCAGGCGUAGGAAAUUUGAGAAGACCUGUCCUUAGUACGAGAGGACCGGGAUGGACGUACCUCUGGUGUACCAGUUGUUCUGCCAAGGGCAUGGCUGGGUAGCUAUGUACGGAAUGGAUAAGCGCUGAAAGCAUCUAAGCGCGAAGCCAACUUCAAGAUAAGAUUUCCCACCGCAAGGGUAAGACCCCAGAAAGACUAUCUGGUUGAUAGGUCGAAGGUGUAAGUGCAGCAAUGUAUUUAGCUUAUCGAUACUAAUA
rnacentral:rRNA from 1 species